rnacentral:rRNA from 1 species
UACGUAGGGACCGAGCGUUGUCCGGAAUCAUUGGGCGUAAAGAGCGUGUAGGCGGCUUGCUAAGUCUUGCGUGAAAUCUCGGGGCUCAACCCCGAGCGGUCGUGGGAAACUGGCAGGCUAGAGUGCGGGAGAGGAGAAUGGAAUUCCCCAAGUAGAGGUGAAAUUCGUAGAUAUGGGGAGGAACACCAGUGGCGAAGGCGGCCACCUGGAUGGUGACUGACGCUGAGACGCGAAAGCGUGGGGAGCAAACAGG